rnacentral:lncRNA from 1 species
AUGCAACCUGAGAAAGAAACAUGCGAAAAAGUCAACAUAAAGUUGAGCGAGUUCAUAGUUUAAACAUGCGAAAAAGUCAACAUAAAGUUGAGCGAGUUCAUAGUUUGUUCAUAAAAGAUUUGAGAUAAAUCUUUUGAGUUGUGAAAGGUUUGAAAUAAAUCUUUGGUAACCGGUUUUUGAAAUAGUAUUGAGAAAAUGAAUUUAAAAAUCAUUUUCUUGCCAAGUUAUAUGGAAACGUUGUGUUUGUAACACGUUAUGUUCAUAAAACCAUGUAUUUGUAAAGUCUUGUAUUUGUAAUGUUCGCAUAACCGUCAAUGCCCACCCUGACUUUGACUCCAUACCCCCAUAAUUCUUUGAAUUUGUUAUAAAACAUGGUAGUUAAUUUGUAUGAACAAGAAGUUUCCG